AUUGAACGCUGGCGGCAUGCCUUACACAUGCAAGUCGAACGGCAGCACGGGUGCUUGCACCUGGUGGCGAGUGGCGAACGGGUGAGUAAUAUAUCGGAACGUACCUUAUUGUGGGGGAUAACGCAGCGAAAGCUGUGCUAAUACCGCAUAAUCCCUAAGGGGGAAAGCGGGGGACCGUAAGGCCUCGCGCAAUUAGAGCGGCCGAUACCUGAUUAGCUAGUUGGUGAGGUAAAGGCUCACCAAGGCAACGAUCAGUAGCUGGUCUGAGAGGACGAUCAGCCACACUGGGACUGAGACACGGCCCAGACUCCUACGGGAGGCAGCAGUGGGGAAUAUUGGACAAUGGGGGGAACCCUGAUCCAGCAAUGCCGCGUGUGUGAAGAAGGCCUGAGGGUUGUAAAGCACUUUCAGUGGGGAGGAGGUCAUUUAGGUUAAGAGCUAGGAUGAUGGACGUUACCCACAGAAGAAGCACCGGCUAACUCCGUGCCAGCCGCCGCGGUAA
rnacentral:rRNA from 1 species